GAGUUUGAUCAUGGCUCAGAUUGAACGCUGGCGGCAGGCCUAACACAUGCAAGUCGAGCGGAUGACGGGAGCUUGCUCCUUGAUUCAGCGGCGGACGGGUGAGUAAUGCCUAGGAAUCUGCCUGGUAGUGGGGGACAACGUUUCGAAAGGAACGCUAAUACCGCAUACGUCCUACGGGAGAAAGCAGGGGACCUUCGGGCCUUGCGCUAUCAGAUGAGCCUAGGUCGGAUUAGCUAGUUGGUGGGGUAAUGGCUCACCAAGGCGACGAUCCGUAACUGGUCUGAGAGGAUGAUCAGUCACACUGGAACUGAGACACGGUCCAGACUCCUACGGGAGGCAGCAGUGGGGAAUAUUGGACAAUGGGCGAAAGCCUGAUCCAGCCAUGCCGCGUGUGUGAAGAAGGUCUUCGGAUUGUAAAGCACUUUAAGUUGGGAGGAAGGGCAGUAAGUUAAUAACCUUGCUGUUUUGACGUUACCGACAGAAUAAGCACCGGCUAACUCUGUGCCAGCCGCCG
rnacentral:rRNA from 1 species